rnacentral:snoRNA from 14 species
UUAAAUGAUGUUUUUAGUGUGUAAUCUCUCUCAUUAGAUCCUCGGAUCUAUGUAGAAAAUUUAUCCUUACUGA